rnacentral:misc_RNA from 1 species
AACGCACAUUGCGCCCUUUGGUAUUCCAAAGGGCAUACCUGUUUGAGCGUCAUUACAACUCUUAAAUCAAAUUUUUGAUUUAGUAUUGAGCCAUAUUUUUCGAAAGCAAUUUUGAAAAUGGUUUGAAAUUGAUAGGGCUGAAGCAAUUCCAGUAUUUGGAGGCUUUGAUUACAACGUAAUAGGUUUUACCAACUCGUUGGCUUAUCGAAGUUCUUUCUUUUGGAAUUUUCGCUUUUGCGUUAUAAAAUGACACUUUAAAGUUUGACCUCAAAUCAGGCAGGAUUACCCGCUGAACUUAA